rnacentral:rRNA from 1 species
GACGAACGCUGGCGGCGUGCUUAACACAUGCAAGUCGAACGGAAAGGCCCUGCUUUUGUGGGGUGCUCGAGUGGCGAACGGGUGAGUAACACGUGAGUAACCUGCCCUUGACUUUGGGAUAACUUCAGGAAACUGGGGCUAAUACCGGAUAGGAGCUCCUGCUGCAUGGUGGGGGUUGGAAAGUUUCGGCGGUUGGGGAUGGACUCGCGGCUUAUCAGCUUGUUGGUGGGGUAGUGGCUUACCAAGGCUUUGACGGGUAGCCGGCCUGAGAGGGUGACCGGCCACAUUGGGACUGAGAUACGGCCCAGACUCCUACGGGAGGCAGCAGUGGGGAAUAUUGCACAAUGGGCGGGAGCCUAAUGCAGCAACGCCGCGUGCGGGAUGACGGCCUUCGGGUUGUAAACCGCUUUCGCCUGUGACGAAGCGUGAGUGACGGUAAUGGGUAAAGAAGCACCGGCUAACUACGUG